rnacentral:rRNA from 1 species
AAUAACAGCCAUAUCCCUCUGCAGCCCAAGACCAGUUCUCACUGAAGCUAAGCAAGGCUAAGCCUGGUCAGUACCUGGAUGGGAGACCUCAUGGGAAAACUAGGUUGCUAUUUGAA